UGAGGAAUAUUGGUCAAUGGGCGAGAGCCUGAACCAGCCAAGUAGCGUGCAGGAUGACGGCCCUAUGGGUUGUAAACUGCUUUUAUCUGGGAAUAAAGUGAGGGACGUGUCCCUUAUUGCAUGUACCAUACGAAUAAGGACCGGCUAAUUCCGUGCCAGCAGCCGCGGUAAUACGGAAGGUCCAGGCGUUAUCCGGAUUUAUUGGGUUUAACGGGAGCGUAGGCUGUUUGUUAAGCGUGUUGUGAAAUGUAAGAGCUCAACUUUUAGAUUGCAGCGCGAACUGGCAGACUUGAGUGCGCACAACGUAGGCGGAAUUCAUGGUGUAGCGGUGAAAUGCUUAGAUAUCAUGACGAACUCCGAUUGCGAAGGCAGCUUACGGGAGCGCAACUGACGCUAAAGCUCGAAGGGGCGGGUAUCGAACAGG
rnacentral:rRNA from 1 species